CUACGAAGGGUGCAAGCGUUACUCGGAAUUACUGGGCGUAAAGCGUGCGUAGGUGGUUGUUUAAGUCUGUCGUGAAAGCCCUGGGCUCAACCUGGGAAUGGCGAUGGAAACUGGGCGACUAGAGUGUGGCAGAGGGUAGUGGAAUUCCUGGUGUAGCAGUGAAAUGCGUAGAGAUCAGGAGGAACAUCCGUGGCGAAGGCGACUGCCUGGGCCAACACUGACACUGAGGCACGAAAGCGUGGGGAGCAAACAGGAUUAGAUACCCUGGUAGUCCACGCCCUAAACGAUGCGAACUGGAUGUUGGGUGCAAUUUGGCACGCAGUAUCGAAGCUAACGCGUUAAGUUCGCCGCCUGGGGAGUACGGUCGCAAGACUGAAACUCAAAUGAAUUGGCGGGG
rnacentral:rRNA from 1 species